rnacentral:rRNA from 1 species
CGGCCACAUUGGGACUGAGACACGGCCCAGACUCCUACGGGAGGCAGCAGUGGGGAAUAUUGCACAAUGGGGGAAACCCUGAUGCAGCGACGCCGCGUGGAGGAAGAAGGUCUUCGGAUUGUAAACUCCUGUUGUUGAGGAAGAUAAUGACGGUACUCAACAAGGAAGUGACGGCUAACUACGUGCCAGCAGCCGCGGUAAAACGUAGGUCACAAGCGUUGUCCGGAAUUACUGGGUGUAAAGGGAGCGCAGGCGGGAGAACAAGUUGGAAGUGAAAUCCAUGGGCUCAACCCAUGAACUGCUUUCAAAACUGUUUUUCUUGAGUAGUGCAGAGGUAGGCGGAAUUCCCGGUGUAGCGGUGGAAUGCGUAGAUAUCGGGAGGAACACCAGUGGCGAAGGCGGCCUACUGGGCACCAACUGACGCUGAGGCUCGAAAGUGUGGGUAGCAAACAGGAUUAGAUACCCUGGUAGUCCACACCGUAAACGAUGAUUACUAGGUGUUGGAGGAUUGACCCCUUCAGUGCCGCAGUUAACACAAUAAGUAAUCCACCUGGGGAGUACGACCGCAAGGUUGAAACUCAAAGGAAUUGACGGGGGCCCGCACAAGCAGUGGAGUAUGUGGUUUAAUUCGACGCAACGCGAAGAACCUUACCAAGUCUUGACAUCCCUUGACGAACAUAGAAAUAUGUUUUCUCUUCGGAGCAAGGAGACAGGUGGUGCAUGGUUGUCGUCAGCUCGUGUCGUGAGAUGUUGGGUUAAGUCCCGCAACGAGCGCAACCCUU